rnacentral:rRNA from 1 species
AUUGAACGCUAGCGGCAUGCCUUACACAUGCAAGUCGAACGGUAACGGGCCUUCGGGUGCCGACGAGUGGCGAACGGGUGAGUAAUGUAUCGGAACGUACCUUUCAGUGGGGGAUAACGUAGCGAAAGUUACGCUAAUACCGCAUAUUCUGUGAGCAGGAAAGCAGGGGAUCGCAAGACCUUGCGCUGAUUGAGCGGCCGAUAUCAGAUUAGGUAGUUGGUGAGGUAAAGGCUCACCAGGGCGAAGAUCUGUAGCGGGUAUGAGAGGAUGAUCCGCGACACUCGAACUGAGACACGGUCAGGAAACGUAAGGGAGGAGGCAGUGAGGGAUUUUGAACAGUGGGGGCAACCCUGAGCCAGCCAUGCCGCGUGAGUGAAGAAGGCCUUCGGGUUGUAAAGCUCUUUCGGCCGGGAAGACAUCUUAUCAGCUAAUACCUGGUGCGGAUGACGGAACCGGCAUAAGAAGCACCGGCUAACUACGUGCCAGCCGCCGCCGUAACAC